GUCGAACGCUGGCGGCAGGCCUAACACAUGCAAGUCGAGCGAGCGGCGGACGGGUGAGUAAUGUAUGGGGACUGCCCGAUAGAGGGGGAUAACUACUGGAAACGGUAGCUAAUACCGCAUCCUAUCGGAUAACCCAUAUGGGAUUAGCUCGUGGGUGAGGUAAUGGCUCACCUAGGCGACGAUCCCUAGCUGGUCUGAGAGGAUGAUCAGCCACACUGGGACUGAGACACGGCCCAGAGUCCUACGGAGGCAGCAGUGGGGAAUAUUGGACAAUGGGCGAAAGCCUGAUGCAGCCAUGCCGCGUGUAUGAAGAAGGCCUUAGGGUUGUAAAGUACUUUCAGUCGGGAGGCGUUACCGACAGAAGAAGCACCGGCUAACUCCGUGCCAGCAGCCGCGGUAAUAC
rnacentral:rRNA from 1 species